UAAUUCCAACCACUAUAUUCCAUAUUGUUGGAGUGUUUACUAAACGAUGGUUUCUAAUGCUACCUUGGUUGCUUAUUUGGGGGACUAUUUUAAUUGGGAAUCUUCUGAGCACUGUAUUUCUCUCCUACUAUCUACAACCAAGUGGAGUUUGGAUUUGUGUUGGGCUGGGUCUACUCACUGUGUUUAUCAUCUACCCUACUUGGUUGUUGUCCUUGCAUGUGUACUGCAGUUGGAGAAAUCAACGAAAACAUUUCAAGAAGAUGCUCAGAGAAAGAUCAUUGAUUGAAAACACUCCUUACCAUAGUCAACAUACUCUAUCCCGUAGAUAUACGUCAGUAUAGAUACAACACUUAACCGACUGUACUGUACCGUACUAACCAACUGUACUGUACCGUACCAACUGACUCUACUGUACCGUAAUAACCGACUGUACUGUAUCGUUCUAACCAACUGUACUGUACCGCACUAACUAACUGUACUGUACCGUACUAACCGACUGUACUGUACCGUACUUAACCUACUGUACUGUACCAUACUUAAUGGACUGUGCUGUACCGUACUUAACCGACCACACUGUACCGUACUUAACCGACCAUAUUUUACCGUACCUACUGUUCUGUAUUGUACAACAUUAUACUGUACCAGACCGUACUGUACCUUGCAACCAUAUACCGAACUAUAUUUUACUAAUUCCUCCUGUACAGUUUGUUGUACUUUCAUGUAAGUUAAGUACUCACUCCAAGUUUACCUUCUUUUUAACUAAAAACGACCAAAUCAUGUAGAAAAGUUUUCAACUUGUUCACAGCUUUAACUUUUGUUAGAAAUCUAUUAAAAAAAUAUAUAUUUAUGAUAAAUAUUUAA